UAAAGCUAAAGGAUGAUGGGUUUACAA
rnacentral:piRNA from 1 species